CCUACGGGAGGCAGCAGUGAGGAAUAUUGGUCAAUGGACGAGAGUCUGAACCAGCCAAGUAGCGUGAAGGAUGACUGCCCUAUGGGUUGUAAACUUCUUUUAUAUGGGAAUAAAAUGUUCCACGUGUGGGAUUUUGUAUGUACCAUAUGAAUAAGGAUCGGCUAACUCCUUGCCGGCAGCGGCGGUAAUCCGGAGGAUCCGAGCGUUAUCCGGUUUUAUUGGGUUUAAAGGGAGCGUAGGUGGAUUGUUAAGUCAGUUGUGAAAGUUUGGGGCUCAACCGUAAAAUUGCAGUUGAAACUGGCAGUCUUGAGUACGGUAGAGGUGGGCGGAAUUCGUGGUGUAGCGGUGAAAUGCUUAGAUAUCACGAAGAACGCCGAUUGCGAAGGCAGUUCACUGGACUGCAACUGACACUGAGGCUCGAAAGUGUGGGUAUCAAACAGGAUUAGAUACCCCUGUAGUC
rnacentral:rRNA from 1 species